rnacentral:rRNA from 1 species
CGGGGGGAGCAAGCGUUGUUCGGAUUUACUGGGCGUAAAGGGCGCGUAGGCGGCACGACAGGUCGCUUGUGAAAUCUCCGGGCUUAACUCGGAGCGGCCAAGCGAUACUGUCGCGCUAGAGUGCGAAGGGGCAACUGGAAUUCUCGGUGUAGCGGUGAAAUGCGUAGAUAUCGAGAGGAACACCUGCGGCGAAGGCGGGUUGCUGGGCCGACACUGACGCUGAUGCGCGAAAGCCAGGGGAGCGAACGGGAUUAGAUACCCCGGUAGUCCUGGCCUUAAACGAUGAAUGCUUGGUGUCCGGGGUUUUAUAGUCCCCGGGUGCCGGCGCUAACGCAUUAAGCAUUCCGCCUGGGGAGUACGGUCGCAAGACUG